GUUAUUAUAGUGUAAUUAACACUUUACAUUUUCAUUGUAAGACUAAAGGUUUAAAUCCUUUUAAAAAUAC
rnacentral:tRNA from 1 species